AAUUUUAAAAUAUGGAAACAAGGUUAUAAGAAUACAAAUUACAAUUAAAUGUGCAAUUUUAUUUUUCAAUUAAGCAAUUCAAGUUUGGUAUGAAUUAAUUAUUUAGUACAAAAUAUUGAUACAGUAAAUACAUAGAGACUCAUAGUAAUGUGUUUAUUACCCAGCUAAAAAGUAUACCACACAAUCAAACACAGUUGAGUCAGAGUAAUUAUGUUCCAAUAGUAUGUCGUCUAAAUCCCAACAUCCAUCUUCAAUAAUUAUAUCAAGUUUUUGUCUCAAAUUAUUAAUUUUUUUUGUUCUUUGAGAUAUAUUUUCUGGGUCAUUAAUCAAUUCUUUCAAGUCACCAACAGAUAUUACAGGAAUGCAUUCUACCUUCUGAUACUGUACAAUUCCCAGAUUUUGGUGGCUUUACAACUGAAUAAACUGUCAACAUCCUGUAUAGUUGCAAAAAAGUUGGUGUUGAGGGGUGGUCAUUAGGCCCAGCCACCUGCCUAAGUAUUCCAAAAAACUUCUGAAAGUUAAUAAGGUUAAUACAUAUGCGAACCCACAGUCAUUUAUUAGAUAAUUUACUAAAUCUAUAGUAGAUUGCAGAGUUAUUUUCAAGCCAUCAUAUGUUGAACGGUUAGAGUUUUAUUUUGAAACAACCGAUUCCUAAUAUUUUUCAAAAGAUGUGGUGCAUCAGAAAACAUAUAUACUUUUCUGGAAGUAUCAAAAGGAUUUUCAAUGUAAUUUUUGAAGUCUUGUUUUUUUGCUGAAACCUUAAAAGUUAAAUAGUGCGAUUUGUUGAUGCGCCAUCACAAGUGAUACCAACAACAUGGGCACCAGCAUCUUCCAUUAAUAGGAUGGCCUUGACUACCAGCUUUGAGAGUUCAAUUCCUACAUUAAUAUUACAAAUUAUUGCUUUUCUAUGGAUCUUAAAUAUUUUUCUCUGAAUAAGUCAGUUUAUGAAAACAUACAACAUUAUCAGUAGUACCAUACAACUUAUUAAUAUCAACAAACCAUUUGAAUGGUAGAUUAAUGAUACUUAUUGAUUUGCAAAUAGAAAUAAAUAAUGGAUUUGCAACAACUAACGUUAAAGCUGGUGGUGGUUGUUCAGGAGUACUGGUUGAUGAAAAUAAAUGCUCAUCAAAACUAUUGAUAUUUUUUUCAACUGUCGACAAACUAUUAUUUAAACUUGUACCAUCACUUUCACUUAUGAUACAAUAAGAAUGAUCGUUUAAUACAGAAGACAUUUCCUCAUCAUUAAUCUUAAAAAUUAUUAUUCAAUGCAAUAUUUAGUACUCAAUAAAAGUAUAAGGCGUAGAAGUAUUUAAGACUUCUGAAUUUAGGACAACCUCCUUAAUUUUGUUUACCACUGUAAGUUUAGGAAUAGCACCCGGUUUCAAUUUUGGUAUUUUCAAACAUAUCUUUAAGCAAAAUUUAAAACAUUGUCAGUUUAUCAACAGUUGUUUAGCUUAAGAUGAAUCAAAACAUUGUUUUAAAUAAUGAUGUUAAGUACUGUACAUUUUCUAAAAUGUAAUUGUAAUUUUAAAAAAUAUUGUAAUAAUACAGUACCGUAUAUUUGCUAAAUCCUUUCCCAGAUUCCCAUGUUCUUAUAACAUCAUUUUUGUCAAAAUGGUUCUCGCAAACCCUCGAACUGGGAUUUAAUUUUAAGUUUAACGAUUUUUCCCAUACAAUUUUUAAACUAUUGUCUUUUGGGAUACCAAAUUUGCUUUUAAAUAGUUCAUUACAAAACGGGACACAACAUGAUUUAGCCAUUUUUAAAUUGUAAAAAGAUAAAAACAAUAAAUAAAACUCAGUCAAUUUGAAUUUUGAGCAUACAUUUGUUUUACUCUUGUGCCCACCACAAUUAUACAUGCCCGCCAUAAUUCUUAUUUCUUAUCUCUUUUCUAUGAAGUAUGAAUUUAGGCAUAAAUUCAUAGUAAUUCAUAGUAUUUAGCUAUGUACAGACAUAAUAUUAAUAUAUUAGAAUAGAUAAAUAUUAAAUUAAUAUAAUAUCUAUUAAUCUUAAAUCGUGAUCUGGGUAAUGGGUAUGUAAAAUGUAAUAUUUAGAUAAUGUAAGGAAAUUGAAAUUGUCUGCUGUGCCCAGUUUGUUUUUGCCGGUACUAAAUAAUUUAUUUAAAAAUGUAUAACAACAAUUAUUUUAAUAAUAUUACCUACAUAUAUAGGUAAUUGAAGUAGUAAAUGAAGAACAUGAGCAUAAUAAUAUGGAAUUAACAUUUGAUGUUGAGGAAAUCAAAUUGAAUAAUUAUGGUAUCAGUGAUGAAAGUUUGGCAUUGGAUAGAAAUGAAAUAAAUAACAGUAUUUGUAAUGAAAAUUUACCAAUAACUCCAAAAAUUUUAUUUCCUCAAGUAAUAAACCACAUAAGACAUACCUAACAUUAAAUAAGCAUUAAGUUAAAAGUAUACAUAAUAAAUUAUAUUUAGUAGUGCAGCUUUAGUACAACAUACCCCAGAAUAUUUUUUAUUUAAAAAAUAAGGGAAAUAUUGUCUAUUUAAAUAAAAAAAAAUAUAAAAUACACAUACUACUUAUAAUGUAUUAUAUAUUAGGUGGUGUGGUAAAACUUGUUUUUACAUGAUAUUUUAUAAAUUAUAAAUAAUUAUUUUAUACGAUAAUUAAGAAAUAAAAAUGUAGUAAUAUAAUACACUUUAAAUAAAUAAUUAUUAUUUAUUAUGUUUAACAGCCUUUGGUUAGAAAUCCAGAAACCUCUUGUGUUUAUUGUAG